AAGGAUAACGACAGGAAUCGUUCAUCAGGAGUGGAAUCUGAUGAUAGUAAGGAUCCUUGAUAGACAGGGAUGUAAGGAAACAGUCUGCAAAACCCCGCUUAGGCGGGGUUUU
rnacentral:sRNA from 1 species